CAGCAGCCGCCGCGGUAACACAGAGGGUGCGAGCGUUAAUCGGAUUUACUGGGCGUAAAGCGUGCGUAGGCGGCUUCUUAAGUCGGAUGUGAAAUCCCUGAGCUUAACUUAGGAAUUGCAUUCGAUACUGGGAAGCUAGAGUAUGGGAGAGGAUGGUAGAAUUCCAGGUGUAGCGGUGAAAUGCGUAGAGAUCUGGAGGAAUACCGAUGGCGAAGGCAGCCAUCUGGCCUAAUACUGACGCUGAGGUACGAAAGCAUGGGGAGCAAACAGGAUUAGAUACCCAGUAGUCCCUGUCUCUUAUACA
rnacentral:rRNA from 1 species